rnacentral:rRNA from 1 species
UGGGGAAUAUUGGGCAAUGGAGGAAACUCUGACCCAGCGACGCCGCGUGAGGGAUGAAGGCCUUCGGGUUGUAAACCUCUUUCAGUAGGGAAGAAGCGAAAGUGACGGUACCUACAGAAGAAGCACCGGCUAACUAUGUGCCAGCAGCCGCGGUAAGACGGAGGAUGCAAGCGUUAUCCGGAAUUAUUGGGCGUAAAGCGGACGUAGGCGGCUUAUCAAGUCUGGGGUUAAAG